UGGAUUUAUGGAUUAGGUAUGGGUGCACUAUUCAUUGGAUGUGGAACUGGUUCAAGAUUGUACCCAGAGAGUCACAGAUACAGCAUUAUCAAAGACUAAGUUGAUUUUCACAGGUAUUUAGGGUCACAAUGGGCAGGGAUGUUGGUAACUAAGCUAAUUUUUGAUGUGCCUUUUGACAUGGAAUUGUUUAAAAAAAAAAAAAACCCUCACCUUUCUGAUGUUGACAAGGCUUAUUUAUGUAGAUUUCAGGUUUGCAAAGGUAUGCAAAAACAGGAACUACUCAGCUGUGAACUAAAGUCAGAUGUAAACCAGUGACCUGUCAUAAAUCUUUUAACAAAAUUAAUUAAUUCUAAGACCUUUGACUUAGGAAGCUCCAACUACUCAGUUGAUCGUGUUACGCCUAGAAAAGUUCCUGGCUUUGAAAGAAGGAAAUAUAGUUGAUCUAUUUUGAAAUUCACACAGAAUAAAGCCUGUAGUGAACUUAAAAGCAACAUAAAGAUCAUACUGUGAUUUUCAGCUUUAUUAAUGUAAGUUUAUAUUUUUCACAGAUCUGAAAAGUAUGAUCCUGCCUAUCUAUGUGCAUGUAUCUUGUCCAUGGAGUAUUCUAUCUAAAUACAUUCUGUGUGAAAUUUGAUAUUUAUUAUUCAGUGGAAAGGAAGUUUCAAGCCCUGUGUGACAGAAAACAAGUUAUGUUCUUUUUUCAGAGUCAUCCUAUUAAUUCCUGAUGUGGUAAAACCAGAAUUUCAAGAUGUCUUCAUCUAAGAGCUUCCUGUCCUUUGACUGGUGCCAGGGUAGCUGUUGUGCCUGGGUUACCAGAGGGAGAAUGAGCUGCUAAAAUAUUUCAGCAACGAUAUUUGAACAAUUUCUUAUUUUUUUAAUUCUUUUUUUGAGGAAAAUGGUUGGCUUUUUGGGCUCUGAAAUGUCACUUGAAGCACGACUAGAUGUGCUACAAAACUGCUUCAUAAAACAGGAAUACUCAGAAGUAUCAAAUGCUGCAGAUGUCCAGCAAUACUUAUGCUAAUGUUCACUAUAAAACCUUUCCUGGAAAGGACUUUCCACUUGUCUGGAGCUUACUGACUUCGAUGUAUCUGGAUUGUUCUUUUCUACUUACCAGUUCAUCAGCAAGGAAAAAAACCACUACAUUCCAAAUUUACGUUAAAGUUAAGAACUGGCUACGUAAAUUUGCAAGGCACUGAACUUCUCAGUUUUCUUGGAGACCAGAAUCAUACUUCCACAUCUGGAAAUUGGGCAGAAAGUAGGUAUUUUACUAACAACAAACAAAUUAGGAUGGGAAGUCAAUAUGAGGUUUUCAGUAAAUAUUUCAGAGCAUCUGAAAUGUUUGAAAUAUCUGAAGCCUCACAGAACAGGAAUUGCUUACCUCUUGAAGUGACGGAUAUUUGAAUCAGUGAGCUGAUCACUUGAUAAAAGAACUGCAGCUCAAAUUACAUCUAGGGAGGGAUAUACACCCAGAUAACCUUUGCCAGCUGACACAUCUCAGUAUGGAUUCAGGACUUACUUUCUGUGAUUCCACUCCCAGCUUUCACUGAACUCUGCCAUGCUACUGUGGCUUUUAACAUCUAACCCGCUAUAUCAGUCCUUGCUGAAGGCCAUCUGUCAGCCAGUGGGCAUAAAAGAUCUAAACCUUCUUGCUACAAAAGAAUCUUGAUUUUUUUU
ensembl:lncRNA